GCCGGGCGCUGGUGGCUCACGCCUGUAAUCCUAGCUACUCAGGAGGCUGAGAUCUGAGGAUCGCAGUUCAAAGCCAGCCCGGGCAGGAGAGACCAUGAGACUCCUAUCUCCAAUAAACCACCAGAAAACCGGAAGUGGCGCUGUAGCUCAAGGCGAGCGCUCUACCACUUGAGCUACAGCACCACUUCCGGUUUUCUGGUGGUUUAUUGGAGAUAGGAGUCUCAUGGUCUCUCCUGCCUGGGCUGGCUUUGAACUGCGAUCCUCAGAUCUCAG
rfam:Dipodomys ordii contig_15254, whole genome shotgun sequence.